rnacentral:hammerhead_ribozyme from 1 species
CCAUUUCUGAAGAGUCCGACAACAGGACGAAACAACUGUCCAGUGC